AACUUUUCUUAGUUAAAGCUAAGAACCGUCUCUUAGCUGAAGCUAAGAACCCAGUCUCUUAUCUGGGGUUAAUCAUGGUCGUCUAAUGUCUCAUUUAUUAGUGUUUUUAUUUUUCACAGUCGUUAGGUACUCUCAUCAUGCUCUCUCCUAUAUAAUUCGUUAAUGCAUGCGCAGAUACCAAUUAUCAUGCUUGUUGUGGAAGUCCCUUGUGAUCUGGUAUGCAGUAUACAGUCACCAAAAGAUGGCCCAGACUGUAUCACCGUUGACCAAGACAGCAAUAGUAACACUGAUGUGGUUGGAUUUGAAGACUCUGCAGCAGCAAACUCUUUACCGACAAAGGCUGGAAACUUGGCAAAUGCAAAAUGUGUCCGUCUUGACAUCAGUUUCAAAACGCCAUCGCAUACGUGUCUUCAAACCACACAAUUGGUGUUUGUUUAAUUCUUCUUUCACAGCAAGAUAUUUGUUUUUCUUACAUUAUACCUCUUCUUGUCUAUGUAUCUCUGUAACCUUUUUUCUUUCUUUGGGCUUAUGUUUCCUAAAAUGUUCGUUUCUGCAGGUGAAAGAUCUGACAGCAAUUUCCAGCUGCCACACCACUUGCUUUGGUGUUAAAGCAGUUUUUGGCUGAUCGUACCCUGGAUCAAUCAUACUCCGGCGGAUUGAGCUCUUAUUGCCUGGUGAGCCGUGUUCCUUUACAUUAAGUAAAACUCUCCUUUCUUUUAGUUUUCAGGUGGUCAGUCUCUGUAUAUGUAAUGCGGAUCCUGGUAGUUGGUGUUUGUCUAAUUUGAUUAGUACCAAUGCACCAGCCACCUUAUUAAUCCAUUCUCUAAACAUGUUUUCAGAUAUCUGUUUAUGAAUCGUAGACUAUAUGAUUACUGCAGGUCUUCUGAUUACACGUUUUCUUCAGCAUGAGCAUCAUCUGGGGCGCUCUAUCAACCCAGUACUUAGUUUUAUUGUUUGCCUAUUCUGUAACACAAGUAUCUAUAUUUGUUCAGGUUUCCUUGUUACACUCAUGCAAUUAUUACUAAUUGAAAAUAAGUAUUUUUGCAGAACAUUGGGCGGCUUCUAAUGGAUUUUGUUUACUUUUUUGGUAAUGUUUUUGAUCCUCGGCAGAUGCGUGGCUCAGUGCAAGGAAGUGGUAUCUAUAGGAAUCGGGAGAGGGGUCAUAGUAUUGAUCCGAUACACAUCGAUGACCCUCUGGAAUCGACAUGGUGUUUUAUGUGGUGUACAAUGUCUGGAAGUUGCAAAAUGCUGAUUGAUAAUGGCGAUGAUUGCAACUGCAUUGGUUGAUUGCGGAUUCUAGGCUGGGAAGCUUACUUACACGAGUCCAAAUUGUUAUUGAAGAUAGGCCUCCAGAUUUGCUUACAUUGUGUUGUUGAUGUAAGAAAACUACGUGGAAAGUGGAUAGUAAUCGAAUUAUCUCAUGGUGUUUGUAAUCUUUAUUGUACGAGUGUAGUUUGAUGACUCAGCUUGUCUGUGGUUGGUCGUUUGAAGCAUAGGCUUGGUCAGCAGCCUAACCAACCAAGUAAGAAAAUGCACUGGUUGAAGCGAAAGAGCCCUAUAAAUGUUUCAAGACUGGGACAGACUGACAACACGCCUGAGCGGGAGGAGGGGGGGGGGAGCUUUGGGAGAAUGGUUGAAUCACGGCUCUGAUCUGAGGGAUGAUGUCGCAAUUUCAGAAAACUAGUGAUAUCGAGGUAUGGUUAAGCCUAUGUCUCUCGACAUGAAAUUGUUAAUUGUGGCGACCGUUUCUUCAUUUGAUACCCACUGCUACUAUUGGGGUGAAUCGAAGCCUUUGUCGUCUAUAUGUAUGAUGGCCACGAUCCUUUUGUUCCUUCUUUUGCCAAGAAAAUAAGGAGAUAAUUGAAUACACUUUGUUGUGAUUCUCA